GCAGCCAGCGCGGGCAGCGGUAGGGAAAGAAAAAGGGGCAGGCAGCGGCAGGAAAAGAAAAGGGCGUCUUCCCCACGAACCCUACCCGCCUCCUCGCCUCCUCCUUCGUCCACGCCGCCUCCUCGCCUCCUUCUCCAUUUGCACGUCGCCUCUCCCACCCCGCGCGCAUCUCGUCCGCCCCGGGAUCCGAGGUGCACGGGUGUGGAGGCGAGCUUCCCGGCGACGGGUAUGUGAGGUCUCUUCCUCUUGCCGUUGCUUGCCAAGAGGCGCAUCUCCGCGAGGUGGACGAAAGAUCGACGACGGUGGCAAGCAGCAGCAGGGGCAUGGCUGAGUCCCUCCUCUCCUUCCUUCUCAGUCUCUAGCCCCGCCUGCUCCCUUGACAGCCGCCGGUGCCAAAUACAGCCGUGGCCUCCUCUCCCGUGGGGAGGCUGGAUCCGGCUGUGGCCUCCUCUUCCGCGCGCUCCAACAGCCCGCUUGUGUCCUAUUCAGAGGGGCGCACUUAUCUGCAGCUACCACUGGCCGCGCGGUGCUGGCGUGAACUGGCGCUGCUCAGGCAGGCGGCGGCCACCACACCUGCUCCCAGGACUGCCUGCUCCACCUCACGUCCUCCUCCUAGGUAAAAUCAUGCCAAAAGGUUAGGACAUCAAAUCCCCCUGAACCCUAUCUUGAUCCCCUUUUCUAUGCCAGAUUUACCUCACGCUUGGCCUUUUUAGUUGGACGUGUGCUUGCACAUGUGUGUUAUUUGCUAGAUCUGAAGUGUCCUUUACCAAAUUAGAUAGUUGUUUCUUUGUGAUUUAGUUCACACGCAUGAGGCUGCAUCCCAUAGUUAUUCUGAAAUCGAGUGUUCUCCUCCCCCCCCCAUUCCUGAUUCACAAAUACCUCUAUGUAGUUUCUCUUCUUUUAGCUCGAGAGGAGAGCUUGGAAUUUGUGUCACUGCAAUGCGUAGUACAUAUUGUGAUAAUUAUUUUGUCGGGUAGCAUACUACGUACAUAUUCUGCAGCCCAGAAGACUAUCAGCUACAGACAAAUUGGUUGGUAUAUUAGCACUGAAAUCUCGGAGAUGGAGAUCCCAUUGUUGUUUUGCUAAAAUUUAAGUCCUCAUUCCACAGAUACAUAGGCUGAACGACACUCUUAACAAGAAGGACCUUGAAUAUUGGAGAGCUUGCUAUCCUGUUAACACUUAGCAGUGUAGAUGUUGUUCAUCAUAAGGAUAAAGUGUUUGGGUUUGCUGCUACUUCCUUUUCUGGUUCUCUACUUUCAACCAAUACAUCAGUUGGUCCUCAUAAUCUUACUCCCUUUCAAUAUCUCACUGAAGCCUUAAUAAUCAAUCUGUGUCCCUUUCUCCUGAACUGUCAUAUCUGCAAGUCUUCUUUACUGUCAGAUUGUUCCUUUCAUAAUUAUUGUGUGUUUUAGAUUUUUAAUUAGACUAAAUCAAUGCCUUUUAUAGGUUGUUUACUAGACCGGCCGGAAUUGAACUGCAGAACACGUCAACACAUCACAUAAGUGUACUUGUGAUCUUUGCGUUGUGUAGACAGUUGAUCAAGUACGGUUUCUCAUGAAUGUCAACUUGUUGAAGAUUUUUGUUUUCUAUUUUGCCAAUAUUUUAUUCCAGCUUCGUCAGUAGUUGUAACAUAAGGUUACUUCCUGAAACAACUUAUGGCUUGCCCAAACCUGCACACAUUGUGACGUCUAACUCUUUACAAACUGAAAUCGUGAGAUAAAAAUAUCUUUAAAAAUUUCCAUUGCCGACCUUAUGUUCUUACUCGAAUGUGUGUGUUGUCGUUUUUCACAAUUAUGGUGUUGUAAUUGGUUUCCUCAUUUGCUACACCUGGAAGUAUCCCUCCGGUCACAACGGUGAGACAUGUCCCAUAUAUUUCCCUUUGUUACUUCUAAUUCUUUGUUUCAGAUGCCACGCUGCUCGUUCAUGGAUAUGCUCUGUUUGGACUAGGGAGUGCGCAGUUGUGCCGUCUUUAUUUGUGAAAAAUGUCUUCCGUCAAGGUUCUUUUGUUCUUCAUCUCAUUGCUUCCCAGCUUUCCUCUGCCAAUUAUUUGUUCCUUUUUUUUAUGUAUUUUCUGUUGCCCAUUCAAUUUCGUGACAUGUAGUGGUUUGUUUUGGAGCUUCUUCCAUAGUACCAUAUGUGCCACAUAAAGUAAUUUGAUGGGGUUUUCUCUUUUCCUGCUUGUAUUGUUCUUGUAAAUUAGAAUAAGGAAGGAGCUUUCUCAGAACUUUGGACUUUUGACCUGUACGUGUAGUUAAUUUCAGGUUAUCCACGGAUCAAAAAACUGAAGAAUGAUACUAAGAUUUUACUGGACAUGCCUAUAUUUUGUCUUAUCAAAGCUUGUGUUCUUUUUUCAUCACUACAUAAAGCUGCUUGGAUCUGCAUUAUUAGAACUUGCUCUGCUUUUCUCCUGUUGUCCAGAUAGAUAUAUGCUUAUUCAAGUUUGGACUUGCUAUCUAACAUUUUUCCACUGAAGGCUAUGAAUUGGUACAGUAAUUAAUUUCACUCCCAUGUGUAUCAUGGAACUCCUUGGUCAAUAUUUCUAAUUUUCUGUUCUUUCCAAUUUGUUAUUGCAAUUCACCACAUAGUUUAAUUUCUUAGACCUCGUGCAUUUUCACAAUUGAUGUCUUUCUAAAACUUAAUACAAAACUUGAAUAUUUUAGGUAAUCGGAGUGAAAUUGAUAUUUAGCAUCUAUUGAGAGCAUUGUACUAAAUCAUGUUCACAAAACUUAUUAUUUUUCUAACUUCUACUGGUGGCCGUGUUCUCAGAGCUCCUUAUUUGGAUCUUUGUGGAUGGGUGAGCCUAUUUGCUUGCUGUCUUGCUGGUGUUGGAGACUUGUGGUUACUAUGUUUACUGAAACGAAGAAAAAUAUACGAGUAUCAUGUGCCAAGCAUUUCCUACUUCACCUUGGCUAGCCGGUAGUUUCUACUAGCAUGAAAUCUACACAUAACAGAGAUCCUAAGCAUUGGAAUUGUUUACUGUCCAUAAAUCAUUUUCGUGGUACUCAUUUUUGUAUUGUUGCAUUCUAUGUAUGUUUUUCCACGAAGGUUGUAUCACCUAGAGCAUAGCUUACAAGUUAUUCACCUAUAGCAUAGCCUACAAGUUAUUCAUCUCAUGUCGUAGAUCAUCUGCUUGUAAGAGGUCAUGAGGUUUCAAAUUUUAUUGAGCCUUGAAUAUUUUAUAAAUGGCACCUGCAGAACGUCUAAACGAAUUUGCAAGUGUGUACAUUGGAGGUUGAUUUUGGAAUGGGUAUAUAUUUUGCCUUGCAUGUUUCCCUUUUGAUUAGUUACUUUCAUUGCCUCCUUAACAAUCGUUUCUGCUUUUCUUUACUUAAAACUGUUUCUCGCUCUAGGUGGAAGGAUCUGUGGUAGGUGUACAUAGUUUAGUCAUCUGGCCCAGUAAGCUCAAUCUACACCUUCCCCACAAAAAAAAAGCUCAAUCUACACCUUAACACUUUUUAUGAAUUUAGGAUUUCUUUUAUGUAAUCUGCACAAGGGAGCUCAGAUGGCUGAGCAAUGAUAGAUCCGGCUGGAAGGUGCCAAGCGUAUGAGACGGCGCACUUCGACAAGAUCAUGGUGCGGCUCAAGAAGCUCAGCUGGGCUCAGCCAGGAGCACUGCGACCCCGUGUUCGUCACGCAGAAGGUCUGCGUCAGGGUAUACAUGGGCAUCACCACCAGCCAGCUCGACGAGCUCGCCGCCGAGACCGCCGCCGCGCUCACCGCCUCCCAGCCUGACUAUGCCUCCGUACCUUCCCUCUUUCGAUAUGUCUCUCCCCUUCUGGUCCGUUCUGUUCCCCCCUCACGGCGCCCGUGUUCGUGCAACCUGGCCUGACGUAUGUGCGUGUGUGGUUCUUCUGCAGCUCGUGGCGAGGAUUGCUGUGUCCAACCUGCCGCCAAGUGGAAAUAGUCUGUGUGGCGCUCGUAAAUAGAGAGCAUUCUGGUACAAAGCUGAAAGAUUAAUGAGACUGACUAAAUUCUGAACAUGUUCCAUGUGAGAGAAAUAGCAUGUUGAUUUCAUCUUGAAAUAAUCAUAGCUAAGGGACGAGGUUCGUAACUGAGGGUCAUGUGCAGAGCUUGAGGAAGAAGUUGCUAGUUGUAAUUGUGAUACUCCUGAUGUGAAGGGCUCAGGGAUUUCAGUGAGGACAAUGCCUCUUUAGUUGUAAUUGUGAUACUUCUGAUGUGCAAGUAAACACUCCUGUGAUACUCCUUAUGCUAAAAUGUUGGUUGUUAGUACAGAGGUGGUGGCAUUAUUUGGUUCUCUGCUAUUGAUUUCAUGAUUUGUGGUUAAUAUAUGAUGUAAUACAAUCCACAUUGCAUUAUAUUUUCA